rnacentral:rRNA from 1 species
CAACGCGAAGAACCUUACCAGGCCUUGACAUGCAGAGAACCUUCCAGUGAUGGAUUGGUGCCUUCGGGAACUCUGACACAGGUGCUGCAUGGCUGUCGUCAGCUCGUGUCGUGAGAUGUUGGGUUAAGUCCCGUAACGAGCGCAACCCUUGUCCUUAGUUACCAGCACGUUAUGGUGGGCACUCUAAGGAGACUGCCGGUGACAAACCGGAGGAAGGUGGGGAUGACGUCAAGUCAUCAUGGUCCUUACGGCCUGGGCUACACACGUGCUACAAUGGUCGGUACAAAGGGUUGCCAAGCCGCGAGGUGGAGCUAAUCCCAUAAAACCGAUCGUAGUCCGGAUCGCAGUCUGCAACUCGACUGCGUGAAGUCGGAAUCGCUAGUAAUCGUGAAUCAGAAUGUCACGGUGAAUACGUUCCCGGGCCUU